CAUUGGGUUCCCUUGCAGUUGCAAAGGAGAUGCCUUGAAGUAUGAGAAUGUUAGGAUUUACGUAAGCUGAUCUCAUUACUGCAGGAGAUGGGCUGAUGAUCUCCAAGGGCAGUACAUGGCUAAAAAAUGUAAAAAGGCACUGAAGCAAUAGGAAAGCAGCAUCCUGGCUUUUCUAGUAGGAGUCAUAGAUUCUAGCAGAGAGUCAGUUAAGAGGAACAAGGAGGGCAGAACCUGAUCAGAACGUGCCAGUGUCUUUUCUCCCUGCCUGAUGGGAGGUGAGGCUGUGCACGGGACAGGAGAUGAUGGUGUCCUGCUCCAUCUGUACCUGCAGAUGCAGAGCCCAGGGAAGGGCUGCUCAGGGAACAGCUUCUGCCCUGGUUCUCUCUCCAAGCCUAUGGGAGGAUGUGAAAUCAAGGAGGCUUAAAAUCUCUCUGGUGCUUUGGAUGAUUGGUCAUCUGUAGAAAGGGGACCAGUUGAAGGUGAAAUGGCUGAGACAGUUGCAUCAAAACAUCCUCAGAGAAACAAACAGACCCCAAAUGUGAGCAUGGUCCUUUCCCCAACAACUCAUACGUGAUGUGCAGUCAUGAAAGGAAACAUUCCAGGAAAUCAAGGCAACAGGCAGGCUCACACUGAUAAUUGUCUGAGGACUUUGAGGAACACCUGCCUGGCAUGGCCAUAUUGUUCUUUGUGAAAAUGCUUAGGGUUACUAUAGACUCCACAGAGUUAGGUCUGCAACUUCAAAUGCCACAGGGGAAAUAACUCUUAUUCUUGGUGACCUUGCCACAAAUACUAAUUGAGAAGGCUAGUAAAUAAGAAGUUGAGAAAAAUCUCAGGAAGGGGAAGAGGUACAGCCAAAAUACCCUGUGCAUGUGUAAUUUAUGCAUAAAUUAAU